AUGAAGAGAGCCCGAACAUCGGCGAGUAGCCAGCCCCCGGCAGGCACCUCCGGCAUGCCACUGGUGGUGUCGAGCAGCCCGGACAGCAACCCCCGGUCCAGCCCCCAGCGAGGGGAGCAGCACCAAGGGGAGCCACGAAGGGCUUCUCCUAUUGUGCCUCCUCUGUCAACCACACCGCCCCGAGGGGCGUCCCCGGCAAGGGCACCAAGCCCCGAGGCCAUGCACACGGAGGAGGAGGAGGAGAACGCCGGUGCUGGUGGCUUUCCUUCGGCACCGGAUCUUGGCGGAGAAAGGGCUUCCGCCUCUCGGCCUGGCAUAGGCCCUUCUUCGGAGGACGUCGACACCACCAUCAAGGACGUCGCCGCGGAGGCCGCGGUGAAGGCGGAGAAGAUUGCUGCCGAGGAGAGCACCAGGGGUGCCACCGAAGACGCCGCCAAGGGGCCCACUAAACGCCCCAACAAGGAGCAUGCCGAGGAGCCCGGCAAGGGGCCCGCCGAGGGGACCGGCAAGGCCACUGCCGAGGAGGCGGUGGUCGACGACCAGCCCUCCUCCUCCGCCGCCUCUGGCUCCGGCAAGUACCUGAAGGUGAGCGAUGACCUCUUCGUCCACCUUCCAGGCGCGUCAAGCUCCAGAGCCCCCGUCGAGGGGGAAUUGCUCGACAAUGAGGUGCUUGCCGCCGCCGGUUUUGGACGUUGUUGA
rnacentral:rRNA from 1 species